GUGCUAGCUUUGGCAGCAUAUAUACUGAAAUUAAUAUGAGACAGAGAAGAUUAGCAUGACCCUGUAGAGGAUAACAUACAAAUUUGUGAAGCAUUCCAUAUUUUU
ensembl:snRNA U6 U6 spliceosomal RNA